GAUGGUAAGUCAAAUGUCUGAGAAAUGUAAAGUUCUUUCAUAUGCCACUUCCUGAAUUGAUGAAUUUAUCAUUCAUGAAAAUUUCAUUACAUUCAAAAACAGUUUGUUGAUUAUAUUUCAUUACUUUGCAUGAGUACCCAAAUAGGCUGAGAAAAUUUUUAAAACUUUCUGUGAAAGUAAAGUAUCUAUAGCCAAAUAAUUUCAAAGGCAAAGUUACAAAAGUUCUUUUAAACUUAAAAAAAAAAAAAUAGAGAUGAUGUCUCUCUCUUGUCACCCAGGAUGGAGCACAGUGGCACAAUCAUAGCUCACUGCAGCCUCCAACUUCUGGGCUCAAGCGAUCCUCCCACUUUAGCCUCUUGAGUAGCUGGGACUAACAGUAUGUGCCAACACACCAGGCUUAAGCUUUUACUAAAGCAAAAAUAAAUAAAUAACAUGAUGUGCGAUGUAAGUAUAUCAUAACAUAUUUGAUGUGAUGUUGGGCAGGGUCUCCAAAAAUAAGAAUGCUAGGCCAGGCACAGUGGCUCAAGCCUGUAAUCCCAGCACUUUGGGAGGCCGAGGCAGGUGGAUCACCUGAGGUUGGGAGUUCGAGGCCAGCUUGACCAACAUGGAGAAACCCCGUCUCUAAUAAAAAUACAAAAUUAUCCAGUGUGGUAGCACAUGCAGGUAAUCCCAGCUACUUGGAAGGCUGAGGCAGGUGAAUCACUUGAACCCUGGAGGUGGAAGUUGUGGUGUGCCAAGAUCAUGCCAUUGCACGUGUGUGCAUGCUUGUUGCCCGGGCAACAAGAGCAAAACUCCAUCUCAAAAAAAAAAAAAAAAAGAAUAAAAGAAUGCUGAAGGCCUACAGAGGUCUUUAAAGAGUCCUGAUAUGGUUUUGCUGUUUCCCCACCCAAAUCUCAUCUUGAAUUGUAGCUCUCAUAAUUGGGAGGGACUGGGUUGGGAGAUAAUUGAAUCAUGGGGGCAGGCUCCUCCCUGCUGUUCUCAUGGUACUGAAUAAGUCUCACAAGAUCUGAUGGUUUUCUAAGAGGAAAUCCCUUUCACUUGGUUCUCUCAUUCUCUCUUGCUGCUGCCAUGUAAGACGUGCCUAUCGCCUUCCAUCAUGAUUGUGAGGCCUCCCCAGCCACGUGGAACUGUGAGUUCAUUAAACAUCUUUUUCUUUAUAAAUUACCCAGUCUCCGGUAUGUCUCUAUCAGCAGUGUGAAAAUGAACCAAUACAAGUCCCGGCCAUCAUCUGAUCUAUUCUGAGGGAUCGGGGUUACCUGAGGGAUUGGGAGAUUCCUGAUGCUUUCACCAAGAGACUUGUUUCCAUCACUGUAAGAUGGGGUUGAUGAUCCCCACCAGGAAACUGUAAGCCCUGAAUGAAACGAGUUCUGCUAAGAUUUUUGGAACCUGAGAAACACCAUACAAUGUAAGAUGCUUAUACAUCGUCUGGCCAAGAAUUCUUUUUUGACUUUAGUGCAACAAUAAAGGACUCCAGCCAGGCGUGGUGGCUCACACCUGUAAUCCCAGCACUUUGGGAGGCCAAGGCAGGCAGACCAUGAGGUCAAGAGUUCAAGACCAGCGUGGCCAACAUGGUGAAACCCCGUUUCUACUAAAAAUACAAAAAUGAGCCAGGCACAGUGGUGUGUACCUGUAAUCCCAGCUACUCAAGAGGCUAAGGCAGGAGAAUCACUUGAACCUGGGAAGCACAGGUUGCAGUGAGCCGAGAUCGCACCACUGCACUCUAGCCUGGGCAACAGAACGAGACACGGUCUCAAAAAAUAAAUAAAUAAAUAAAUAAAGGAAUCCUGAUUGAAAUAACAUUGGCUUCAAUUAACAAUGUAAUAGUAAAUACUGAGAUUUAAUUGUAGCAAGUAAUCUUUUCCAAAGAUGAGCACAUCAAUGUAUUUCAUAUCCCAUCUGGUAAACUCUCCUUAUACUGGGGUGGAUAGUAGGCCUCCAUUGAGACAUGGGAUUCAUGCUCCCUCUCCUUGAACCUGGGUGGAACUAUCUAACUCCCUCCAGCAAUGAAAUCUGGCAAAAAUGAGUGAGUGACUUCCGUUUCCACCUGGGUCUGUUUACUGGGACCUGGAUAUUUGGAGCCCUGAGCUGCCACUGAAGGAGUCUGGCUACCCUAAAGCCACGGUGCUGGAGAGACCAUGUGGAGGGGCCACAUGGAAUCAAAGAAAAGUGCACAGGUGGCCCCAGCUACUAAUGCGCAA
rnacentral:lncRNA from 10 species